GGCACUGCCCGGUAGCUAAAUGCGGAAGAGAUAAGUGCUGAAAGCAUCUAAGCACGAAACUUGCCCCGAGAUGAGUUCUCCCUGAGACUUUAGGUCUCCUGAAGGAACGUUGAAGACGACGACGUUGAUAGGCCGGGUGUGUAAGCGCAGCGAUGCGUUGAGCUAACCGGUACUAAUGAACCGUGAGGCUUAACCUUACAACGCCGAAG
rnacentral:rRNA from 1 species